AGAGUUUGAUCCUGGCUCAGAUUGAACGCUGGCGGCAGGCUUAACACAUGCAAGUCGAGCGGGGUGAUGUAGCUUGCUACAUUACCUAGCGGCGGACGGGUGAGUAAUGCUUAGGAAUCUGCCUAUUAGUGGGGGACAACAUUCCGAAAGGAAUGCUAAUACCGCAUACGCCCUACGGGGGAAAGCAGGGGAUCUUCGGACCUUGCGCUAAUAGAUGAGCCUAAGUCAGAUUAGCUAGUUGGUGGGGUAAAGGCCUACCAAGGCGACGAUCUGUAGCGGGUCUGAGAGGAUGAUCCGCCACACUGGGACUGAGACACGGCCCAGACUCCUACGGGAGGCAGCAGUGGGGAAUAUUGGACAAUGGGCGAAAGCCUGAUCCAGCCAUGCCGCGUGUGUGAAGAAGGCCUUUUGGUUGUAAAGCACUUUAAGCGAGGAGGAGGCUACCGAGAUUAAUACUCUUGGAUAGUGGACGUUACUCGCAGAAUAAGCACCUGCUAACUCUGUGCCAGCAGCCGCGGUAAUACAGAGGGUGCGAGCGUUAAUCGGAUUUACUGGGCGUAAAGCGUGCGUAGGCGGCUUCUUAAGUCGGAUGUGAAAUCCCUGAGCUUAACUUAGGAAUUGCAUUCGAUACUGGGAAGCUAGAGUAUGGGAGAGGAUGGUAGAAUUCCAGGUGUAGCGGUGAAAUGCGUAGAGAUCUGGAGGAAUACCGAUGGCGAAGGCAGCCAUCUGGCCUAAUACUGACGCUGAGGUACGAAAGCAUGGGG
rnacentral:rRNA from 1 species